rnacentral:lncRNA from 1 species
UUUAGCUGCUUCUGCUAUCAGCGUCAUCUCCAAUGUGCAGCAUGAGGGACCUAACAGGUGAUGGAACUGGACCUCCACAUCUGGGCCUAGUUGUUGGCCUUCUCUUCUGCUUUGGGGUCCUGCCUUCAGCGAUGAGACUUUCAAAGACGACAUUGUUUCCUGGACAGUAAUGGUUUUCACAGUUCUUUGAUUUCCUUGAACACCCGAAGAAGCAGGAGACCUUGUAAUUCCAUGUGUCUCAUCAUUUCUGCAGACAUACCUGGAGAGCCGAGCUUUCCCACUGAGCUCUAGACUUAGCUUUUAAUUUUUCAAGCUAUUUGAAAGUCUAAAUAAACUUCCCCUCUGUGAGCGUCUCUUUCAUCAACUUCCACGACUCACUUCUUAACACGAAGAUGCUAAUAUUCGAAAAUGAUUAUACGAAUGAGUGAACGAAUUCGCUUUGCUUUUGGCUCCGGCACUGUAUUUGAUGUGAAAGCAACUGCAUCCAAUUCUUUUUCCACCUC